UGGAUGAUGUGUGUGUGUGUGUGCUGGAUGAUGUGUGUGUGUGAGUGCUGGAUGAUGUGUGUGAGUGCUGGAUGAUGUGUGUGAGUGCUGGAUGAUGUGUGUGUGUGUGUGCUGGAUGAUGUGUGUGUGUGUGUGUGUGCUGGAUGAUGUGUGUGUGUGUGUGCUGGAUGAUGGGUGUGUGUGUGAGUGCUGGAUGAUGUGUGUGUG